GGACUGAAGUCCAUCAGAUAUGGGUUCAAGAAAUGGAAGAAGAGCUGAAACAUAGAAAAGCAGGUGAAACCAAGUCCUUUAUGACCUGAAUUCCAUCAACAGUGGGAUCGAGAAAUAGAAGAGGAGGAAGGAAAACUGAAACAACUAGGACGUGAGGUAGAAAAGCAGAUGAAUCAAGUCCUGAUGUGCUUUUAUCUUCUACUUUGGAUCACUCUGUCUGUUGAUACAAGAGAAGAUGGAAGUGGUUAAUUUUUUAUGGUAGAAAAGAACUGAAGUCUAUCAGAUAUGACUUCGGGGAAUGGAAGAGGUGGGAGAAGAGCUGAAACAUAUAGAAAAUGAGGUAGAAAA